GACGGACGCUGGCGGCGUGCUUAACACAUGCAAGUCGAACGGUAAGGCCCUUCGGGGUACACGAGUGGCGAACGGGUGAGUAACACGUGAGUGAUCUGCCCUGCACUUCGGGAUAAGCCUGGGAAACUGGGUCUAAUACCGGAUAGGACCACUGCCUGCAUGGGUGGUGGUGGAAAGCUUUUGCGGUGUGGGAUGGGCCCGCGGCCUAUCAGCUUGUUGGUGGGGUGGUGGCCUACCCAGGCUACGACGGGUAGCCGGCCUGAGAGGGUGACCGGGCACACUGGGACUGAGAUACGGCCCAGACUCCUACGGGAGGCAGCAGUGGGGAAUAUUGCACAAUGGGCGCAAGCCUGAUGCAGCGACGCCGCGUGAGGGAUGACGGCCUUCGGGUUGUAAACCUCUUUCAGCACCGACGAAGCGCAAGUGACGGUAGGUGCAGAAGAAGGACCGGCCAACUACGUGCCAGCCGCCGCGGUAA
rnacentral:rRNA from 1 species